UCUCCGUAGGUGAACCUGCGGAGGGAUCAUUACUGAGUGAGGGCCCCCGGCCCGACCUCCAACCCUUUGUGUAUCUCGACCCUGUUGCCUCGGGGGCGACCCGGCCUUCGGGUGUCGGGGCCCCCGGUGGACCACCCAACCCUGCAUCGUUGCGUCUGAGUGCACGAUUGAAUCAAUCAAAACUUUCAACAACGGAUCUCUUGGUUCUGGCAUCGAUGAAGAACGCAGC
rnacentral:misc_RNA from 1 species